UGCGACAAAGGCAAACUUAGUGAAAGCUAAGGACGCAAAGCUAUGGGCCUUCCUGAUCAAGCUGAUGGCCGCCAAGCUACCGAAG
rfam:Desulfitobacterium hafniense Y51 DNA, complete genome.